AGAGUUUGAUCCUGGCUCAGGAUGAACGCUAGCUACAGGCUUAACACAUGCAAGUCGAGGGGCAGCAUGGUCUUAGCUUGCUAAGGCCGAUGGCGACCGGCGCACGGGUGAGUAACGCGUAUCCAACCUGCCUUACACUCUUGGACAGCCUUCUGAAAGGGAGAUUAAUACAAGAUGUUAUCAUGAGUAAGCAUUUUCGCAUGAUUAAAGGUUUACCGGUGUAAGAUGGGGAUGCGUUCAUUAGAGUAGUAGGCGGGUAACGGCCACCUAGUCUUCGAUGGAUAGGGGUUCUGAGAGGAACGGUCCCCACAUUGGAACUGAGACACGGUCCAAACUCCGUACGGGAGCA
rnacentral:rRNA from 1 species